UACGGAGGGUGCAAACGUUGCUCGGAAUCAUUGGGCGUAAAGGGCGCGUAGGUGGUUCUGUAUGUCUACCGUGAAAGCGUACGGCUCAACCGUAUUUUGUCGGUAGAAACUGCAGGACUUGAGGCUGGGAGGGGCUGGUGGAAUUCCCUGUGUAGCGGUGAAAUGCGUAGAGAUGGGGGAGAACACUCGUGGCGAAGGCGGCCAGCUAGACCAGUUCUGACACUGAGGCGCGACAGCGUGGGGAGCAAACAGG
rnacentral:rRNA from 1 species